UAAAAAACUUUUUUCCUCCUCUGUUGCUGCGGAGCGUUGAGGGGAGGGGGCGUGGCAGGGGGAGGGGCCGGGCGAGGAGAAAGAAUGAGGAGGGGACAUGAAGGGUUGCUGAGUGUGUGGAUGGUUUUUAAAACUUUUUUUAUCUUCUGUUGCUGCAGAGCGUUGAGGGGAAAUGUAGUUUUGUAUGGCAGGCCAACUCUUUAGCUCUUUCUGUUGAAAUGUAGGGGUUUCUUUGUUUUGUUUUGUUAUGUUUUUGGGGGGGGUUUUGUAAGUUUUUUUUUACGGCUUUCGGAACUGCAUAAGAUCAUAAUAUGUAGUUUGUAAGGGUUCCCUUGGGUCUGGCAGUGAGUGAGUUAAGAUACAGGAGCUAAGGCAAUAAAGAAGGAGGGGAGAUUAGGACGACAGAUGUUUGACAGGAAAGAAGGAGUAAAUCACACAAGAGCACGUGACAACCACCCACUUACAUAGUUCGGACAUCUGUCAAGACUACCAGCAGACAGUACAGCAGCGAGAGUGUACAAGCAGAGACCAGAUGGAAACAGAAGAAGAGGCAGACCCCGCUAGGAAAAGAUGGAGAGACAGGCAUGGAGAGACACCCAUCGUCUGAUGUGACAGUCGCAGUUUUUUACCACUCUACUCCUGAACCCAGGACAUGCCGAUCGCGCCCCUGUAGCUGAACGCUUUUUUAAGAAGUAGGCCAAAUAUUUUGCGUUUGACCCAAUUUUGGUUGAAAUUGUUACAACUUGAUAUUUCUACGGCGCGUUGAUUUGAUUUUCUUCAUAUUUGCGAAUUUAUUGUUUGCUUUGUUGAAUUUUAUUUGUUCCAAGUUUUGUUGGAAUUAUUGAUGAGAGGACUGAGUUGUUGCUCUUUAUGAUGUUAUGUGGGUCUUUUGUGUCUUAGAUACCUUGUACAGUGCAGCCUUUCUAUAACGAUAUCGUCAAGACCAGGAAAAAAUGCCUUUAUAGAAAGUUGUCGUUAUAGAGAGGCUACCAAAAAUUACUAUUGAUGUAUAAUAAAAAGGAAAAAAUCGGGACCUGGGCACCAUGUCAUGUCGCUAUACAGAGGAUGUCGUUAUAUCAAAGGUCGUUAUAGAGAGGCUGCACUGUGCAUGCCAGUGGCACCCUCCAACCACCCUCCAAUUCAUGCGUCUAAGUCUAUAGACUGAGGACAGAUUUUUAUGUUGACUGACUGGGGAAGCUGGCAUGAGCCAACACUCAAGACUUUGAGUCAUUUAGUUGCACACUUGUUUCUGUCUUGUAAAUAAAAUAUUUGUGAGAUUUGCUGGCAAAAA